UGCCGGGUCGUCUAAUGGUAGGACACUACCCUUUGAAGGUAGGUAUCUUGGUCCGACUCCAAGCCCGGCAG
rnacentral:tRNA from 1 species